rnacentral:tRNA from 1 species
GGAGAGUUGGCAGAGCGGUAAUGCAGCGGAUUGCUAAUCCGUAGACCCUUUAUAGGGUCUCAAGAGUUCAAAUCUCUUACUCUCCG